AAGGGCACCACCCGGAGUGGAGUCUGCGGCUUAAUUUGACUCAAACGGGGAAACUCACCCGGCCCGGACACCGGAACGAUUGAGACAUUGAUAGCUCUUUCUUGAUUCUGUGGAUGGUGGUGCAUGGCCGUUCUUAGUUGGUGGAGGUGUCUGACUGGUUAAUUCUCAUAACUAACCAGACUCUAGCCUAUUAAAUAGACAUCGGGUUCUCUGCACUCGACGGUCUUCUUAGAGGGACAAGGUGCUUUUAGCACCGCUAAACAGACCAAUAACGGGUCUGAAAUGCCCUUAGAUGUCCGGGGCCGCACGCCCGCUACACUGAAGGAAGAAGCGGGUAGCAACCUUGUUCUAACUAACUGUGUAACCCGAGGAACUUCCUUCAUUAUUGGGAUCGGGGGUUGCAAGUGUGCCCCUUUAACUCGGAAGUCCCAGUACACACAACUCCUCAACUAGGGCAGAUUACAUCCCUGCACUUUGUACACACCGCCCGUCGCUACUACCGAUUGAAUGGUUUAGUGA
rnacentral:rRNA from 1 species